UACAGAGGUCUCAAGCGUUGUUCGGAUUCAUUGGGCGUAAAGGGUGUGUAGGUGGCGCGCUAAGUCGGGGGUGAAAUUUCGGAGCUUAACUCCGAAACUGCAUUCGAUACUGGCGUGCUUGAGGACUGGAGAGGAGACUGGAAUUUACGGUGUAGCAGUGAAAUGCGUAGAUAUCGUAAGGAAGACCAGUGGCGAAGGCGGGUCUCUGGACAGUUCCUGACACUGAGACACGAAGGCCAGGGGAGCAAACGGG
rnacentral:rRNA from 1 species